rnacentral:rRNA from 1 species
AUGAAUCUCUUGGCCUGGAACUGUCGAGGCUUGGGGUUGGACUCGACAGUGGGCGAACUAUGGGACCUCAUACGGUCAUACAACCCAGCGGUGGUCUUUCUCUCAGAAACGUUGAAAAAAUCAGAACCAAUGAAUAAGCUUAAGUGGAGCCUGGGGUUCCGACAAGGAGUGGCAGUUAGUUGUGCAGGGAAGAGUGGUGGGCUUGCUUUAUGGUGGAGGGAU